rnacentral:rRNA from 1 species
GACGAACGCUGGCGGCGUGCUUAACACAUGCAAGUCGAACGGAAAGGCCCUGCUUUUGUGGGGUGCUCGAUUGGCGAACGGGUGAGUAACACGUGAGUAACCUGCCCUUGACUUUGGGAUAACUUCAGGAAACUGGGGCUAAUACCGGAUAGGAGCUCCUGCUGCAUGGUGGGGGUUGGAAAGUUUCGGCGGUUGGGGAUGGACUCGCGGCUUAUCAGCUUGUUGGUGGGGUAGUGGCUUACCAAGGCUUUGACGGGUAGCCGGCCUGAGAGGGUGACCGGCCACAUUGGGACUGAGAUACGGCGCAGACUGCUACGGGAGGCAGCAGUGGGGAAUAUUGCACAAUGGGCGGAAGCCUGAUGCAGCAACGCCGCGUGCGGGAUGACGGCCUUCGGGUUGUAAACCGCUUUCGCCUGUGACGAAGCGUGAGUGACGGUAAUGGGUAAAGAAGCACCGGCUAACUACGUG